rnacentral:rRNA from 1 species
GAUGAACGCUGGCGGCGUGCCUAAUACAUGCAAGUCGAGCGAACAGACGAGGAGCUUGCUCCUCUGACGUUAGCGGCGGACGGGUGAGUAACACGUGGAUAACCUACCUAUAAGACUGGGAUAACUUCGGGAAACCGGCGCUAAUACCGGAUAAUAUAUUUAACCGCAUGGUUCAAUAGUGAAAGACGGUUUUGCUGUCACUUAUAGAUGGAUCCGCGCCGCAUUAGCUAGUUGGUAAGGUAACGGCUUACCAAGGCGACGAUGCGUAGCCGACCUGAGAGGGUGAUCGGCCACACGGGAGCUGGAACGCGGUCCAGACGCCUGCGGGAGGCAGCAGUAGGGUAUCGGCCGCAGUGGGCGGAAGCCUGACGGAACAACGCCGCGUGAGUGGUGAAGGUCUUCGGUUCGUAAAACUCUGUUAUGAGGGAAGAACAAAUGUGUAAGUAACUAUGCACGUCUUGACGGUACCUAAUCAGAAAGCCACGGCUAACUACGUG